CCUCCCCCACCCCCCGCCCCUGUCCAUCCGGCGGGGUGCCUGCGGGUCGCGCUGCCCUCCGCCCGCCUGCUCUACGCCGCGCUCCCUCCCGCGCUUGCUGGGCGCCCAGGCCAGUCCCAGGGGCUCGAAAGCCAGGGACCCGGAUGGGACCCUCCAGAAGCCCUGAUGGGGCAAGCCUUCCGGAAGACAGAAGACAUGUGAAACGAGCUGUUACAAAAGGACGCUAAGGGUUUUUCUACUGCCCCUCCUAUCUCCUGUCAUAGAUUCAGUUUUCCAGGAAGUCAGCAUAUAGUGAGCCAACAGCUAUCCUGUCUCCUCCGAGAAAAAGCAAAUUGGUUUCCAUCACUACCUGGCCGGCAGAAUCAGUUUACAGGAUGAAUUAAGACUGCUUCUGGGCCAGAGAGUAAAGCAGAGGAAGGGAAGGAAAUGAGGACCUGCCGUGUGCCAGUCUUUCCCAGCAUCUGGGUCUUUACCAACGAGUCGUCUCUUCACAUCAAGUGGCCAAAGUGUUGGAGUUUCAGCAUCAAUCCUUCC
ensembl:lncRNA